rnacentral:rRNA from 1 species
CCUACGGGCGGCAGCAGUGGGGAAUAUUGCACAAUGGGGGAAACCCUGAUGCAGCGACGCCGCGUGAGUGAAGAAGUAUUUCGGUAUGUAAAGCUCUGUCAGCAGGGAAGAAAAUGACGGUACCUGACCAAGAAGCCCCGGCUAACUACGUGCCAGCAGCCGCGGUAAUACGUAGGGGGCAAGCGUUAUCCGGAUUUACUGGGUGGAAAGGGAGCGUAGACGGCAGGGCAAGUCUGGAGUGAAAGGCGGGGGCCCAACCCCCGGUCUGCUCUGGAAACUGCCAGGCUGGAGUGCAGGAGAGGUAAGUGGAAUUCCUAGUGUAGCGGUGAAAUGCGUAGAUAUUAGGAGGAACACCAGUGGCGAAGGCGGCUUACUGGACUGUAACUGACGUUGAGGCUCGAAAGCGUGGGGAGCAAACAGGAUUAGAUACCCUUGUAGUC